UACGUAGGGUGCAAGCGUUGUCCGGAAUUAUUGGGCGUAAAGAGCUCGUAGGCGGUUUGUUGCGUCGGCUGUGAAAUCCCGAGGCUCAACCUCGGGUCUGCAGUCGAUACGGGCAAACUAGAGUGUUGCAGGGGAGACUGGAAUUCCUGGUGUAGCGGUGGAAUGCGCAGAUAUCAGGAGGAACACCGAUGGCGAAGGCAGGUCUCUGGGCCACUACUGACGUGAGAAGCGAAAGCAUGGGGGAGCGAACAGG
rnacentral:rRNA from 1 species